UUAAGCGACUAAGCGUACACGGUGGAUGCCCUGGCAGUCAGAGGCGAUGAAGGGCGUGCUAAUCUGCGAUAAGCGCCGGUAAGGUGAUAUGAACCGUUAUAACCGGCGAUACCCGAAUGGGGAAACCCAGUGUGAUUCGUCACACUAUCAUUAACUGAAUCCAUAGGUUAAUGAGGCGAAACCGGGGGAACUGAAACAUCUAAGUACCCCGAGGAAAAGAAAUCAACCGAGAUUCCCCCAGUAGCGGCGAGCGAACGGGGAGGAGCCCAGAGCCUGAAUCAGCAUGUGUGUUAGUGGAAGCGUCUGGAAAGGCGCGCGAUACAGGGUGACAGCCCCGUACACAAAAGCGCAUGUGCUGUGAGCUCGAUGAGUAGGGCGGGACACGUGGUAUCCUGUCUGAAUAUGGGGGGACCAUCCUCCAAGGCUAAAUACUCCUGACUGACCGAUAGUGAACCAGUACCGUGAGGGAAAGGCGAAAAGAACCCCGGCGAGGGGAGUGAAAAAGAACCUGAAACCGUGUACGUACAAGCAGUGGGAGCACCCUUUGGGGUGUGACUGCGUACCUUUUGUAUAAUGGGUCAGCGACUUAUAUUCUGUAGCAAGGUUAACCGAAUAGGGGGAGCCGCAGGGAAACCGAGUCUUAAUUGGGCGUUAAGUUGCAGGGUAUAGACCCGAAACCCGGUGAUCUAGCCAUGGGCAGGUUGAAGGUUGGGUAACACUAACUGGAGGACCGAACCGACUAAUGUUGAAAAAUUAGCGGAUGACCUGUGGCUGGGGGUGAAAGGCCAAUCAAACCGGGAGAUAGCUGGUUCUCCCCGAAAGCUAUUUAGGUAGCGCCUCGUGAAUUCAUCUCCGGGGGGUAGAGCACUGUUUCGGCUAGGGGGCCAUCCCGGCUUACCAACCCGAUGCAAACUGCGAAUACCGGAGAAUGUUAUCACGGGAGACACACGGCGGGUGCUAACGUCCGUCGUGAAGAGGGAAACAACCCAGACCGCCAGCUAAGGUCCCAAAAGUCAUGGUUAAGUGGGAAACGAUGUGGAAGGCCCAGACAGCCAGGAUGUUGGCUUAGAAGCAGCCAUCAUUUAAAGAAAGCGUAAUAGCUCACUGGUCGAGUCGGCCUGCGCGGAAGAUGUAACGGGGCUAAACCAUGCACCGAAGCUGCGGCAGCGAACGUAUCACUUAAAGCGAUUCAGCGGGUUACGAUUGACGGAGCGAAGCGACGUCAAAGCGUAUACAAAAGUCGAGUCGGUUUAAGGAUACGUUCGUUGGGUAGGGGAGCGUUCUGUAAGCCUGCGAAGGUGGCCUGUGAGGGUUGCUGGAGGUAAUCAGAAGUGCGAAUGCUGACAUAAGUAACGAUAAAGCGGGUGAAAAGCCCGCUCGCCGGAAGACCAAGGGUUCCUGUCCAACGUUAAUCGGGGCAGGGUGAGUCGACCCCUAAGGCGAGGCCGAAAGGCGUAGUCGAUGGGAAACGGGUUAAUAUUCCCGUACUUGGUGUUACUGCGAAGGGGGGACGGAGAAGGCUAUGUUGGCCGGGCGACGGUUGUCCCGGUUUAAGCGUGUAGGCUGGUUUUCCAGGCAAAUCCGGAAAAUCAAGGCUGAGGCCGUGACGACGAGGCACUACGGUGCUGAAGCAACAAAUGCCCCUGCUUCCAGGAAAAGCCUCUAAGCAUCAGGUAACAUCAAAUCGUACCCCAAACCGACACAGGUGGUCAGGUAGAGAAUACCAAGGCGCUUGAGAGAACUCGGGUGAAGGAACUAGGCAAAAUGGUGCCGUAACUUCGGGAGAAGGCACGCUGACACGUAGGUGAAGUGAUUUACUCAUGGAGCUGAAGUCAGUCGAAGAUACCAGCUGGCUGCAACUGUUUAUUAAAAACACAGCACUGUGCAAACACGAAAGUGGACGUAUACGGUGUGACGCCUGCCCGGUGCCGGAAGGUUAAUUGAUGGGGUCAGCGCAAGCGAAGCUCCUGAUCGAAGCCCCGGUAAACGGCGGCCGUUAACUAUAACGGUCCUAAGGUAGCGAAAUUCCUUGUCGGGUAAGUUCCGACCUGCACGAAUGGCGUAAUGAUGGCCAGGCUGUCUCCACCCGAGACUCAGUGAAAUUGAACUCGCUGUGAAGAUGCAGUGUACCCGCGGCAAGACGGAAAGACCCCGUGAACCUUUACUAUAGCUUGACACUGAACAUUGAGCCUUGAUGUGUAGGAUAGGUGGGAGCUUUGAAGUGUGGACGCCAGUCUGCAUGGAGCCGACCUUGAAAUACCACCCUUUAAUGUUUGAUGUUCUAACGUGGACCCGUAAUCCGGGUUGCGGACAGUGUCUGGUGGGUAGUUUGACUGGGGCGUCUCCUCCUAAAGAGUAACGGAGGAGCACGAAGGUUGGCUAAUCCUGGUCGGACAUCAGGAGGUUAGUGCAAUGGCAUAAGCCAGCUUGACUGCGAGCGUGACGGCGCGAGCAGGUGCGAAAGCAGGUCAUAGUGAUCCGGUGGUUCUGAAAUGGAAGGGCCCAUCGCUCAACGGAUAAAAGGUACUCCGGGAUAACAGGCUGAUACCGCCCAAGAGUUCAUAUCGACGGCGGUGUUUGGCACCUCGAUGUCGGCUCAUCACAUCCUGGGGCUGAAGUAGGUCCCAAGGGUAUGGCUGUUCGCCAUUUAAAGUGGUACGCGAGCUGGGUUUAGAACGUCGUGAGACAGUUCGGUCCCUAUCUGCCGUGGGCGCUGGAGAACUGAGGGGGGCUGCUCCUAGUACGAGAGGACCGGAGUGGACGCAUCACUGGUGUUCGGGUUGUCAUGCCAAUGGCACUGCCCGGUAGCUAAAAUGCGGAAGAGAUAAGUGCUGAAAGCAUCUAAGCACGAAACUUGCCCCGAGAUGAGUUCUCCCUGAGACUUAGAGUCUCCUGAAGGAACGUUGAAGACGACGACGUUGAUAGGCCGGGUGUGUAAGCGCAGCGAUGCGUUGAGCUAACCGGUACUAAUGAACCGUGAGGCUUAACCUU
rnacentral:rRNA from 1 species